rnacentral:rRNA from 1 species
AGAGUUUGAUCCUGGCUCAGGAUAAACGCUAGCGGCAGGCCUAACACAUGCAAGUCGAGGGGCAGCGGAAGAAGUAGCUUGCUACUUCUGCCGGCGACCGGCGCACGGGUGCGUAACGCGUAUGCAACCUACCUUUAACAGGGGGAUAAUCCGAAGAAAUUUGGUCUAAUACCCCAUAAUAUUUCAGAAGGCAUCUUUUGAGGUUGAAAACUCCGGUGGUUAAAGAUGGGCAUGCGUUGUAUUAGCUAGAUGGUGAGGUAACGGCUCACCAUUGCGAUGAUACGAUAGGGGGACUGAGAGGUUUUCCCCCCANACUGGUACUGAGACACGGACCAGACUCCUACGGGAGCA